rnacentral:rRNA from 1 species
UACGUAGGGUCCGAGCGUUGUCCGGAAUUAUUGGGCGUAAAGGGCUCGUAGGCGGUUUGUCGCGUCGGGAGUGAAAACACGGGGCUUAACCCCGUGCCUGCUUCCGAUACGGGCAGACUAGAGGUAUGCAGGGGAGAACGGAAUUCCUGGUGUAGCGGUGAAAUGCGCAGAUAUCAGGAGGAACACCGAUAGCGAAGGCAGCUCGCUGGGACGGUACUGACGCUGAGGCGCGAAAGCGUGGGGAGCGAACAGG